GAUGAACGCUGACAGAAUGCUUAACACAUGCAAGUCUUUGGCGAAGCUGUGCUUGCACAGCCUAGCCAAGGCGGACGGGUGAGUAACGCGUAAGGGACUUGCCCUGCAGUCAGGGAUAACAGACGGAAACGACUGAUAAAACCUGGUAAAGUCAGACGGACUCAUGUCCAGCCUGAUGAAAAGGAAUGCUGCAGGAGAGCCUUGCGUCCUAUUAGCUUGUUGGUGGGGUAACGGCCCACCAAGGCGAUGAUAGGUAGCCGGCCUGAGAGGGUGGACGGCCACAAGGGGACUGAGAUACGGCCCUUACUCCUACGGGAGGCAGCAGUGGGGAAUAUUGGACAAUGGGGGCAACCCUGAUCCAGCAAUUCUGUGUGCACGAUGAAGGUCUUCGGAUUGUAAAGUGCUUUCAGCAGGGAAGAAAA
rnacentral:rRNA from 1 species